rnacentral:rRNA from 1 species
GCCUAGAGAGGGGUCAAUGUCCUAUCAGCUAGUUGGUAGGGUAAUGGCCUACCAAGGCUAAGACGGGUAGCCGGCCUGAGAGGGUGGUCGGCCACACUGGGACUGAGACACUGCCCAGACUCCUACGGGAGGCUGCAGUCGAGAAUCUUUCGCAAUGCCCGAAAGGGUGACGAAGCGACGCCGCGUGUGGGAAGAAGGCCUUCGGGUUGUAAACCACUGUCGGGAGUUAAGAAAUGCAAGGGUGUUAAUAGCAUCCUUGCUUGACUAAGGCUCCGGAGGAAGCCACGGCUAACUCUGUGCCAGCAGCCGCGGUAAUACAGAGGCGGCAAGCGUUGUUCGGAAUUAUUGGGCGUAAAGAGCACGUAGGCGGCUUUGUAAGUCAGUUGUGAAAGCCUUCUGCUCAACGAAAGAACAGCAUCUGAUACUGCAAGGCUAGAGUGCGGAAGGG